rnacentral:rRNA from 1 species
UACGGAAGGCAGCAGUGGGGAAUAUUGCACAAUGGGCGCAAGCCUGAUGCAGCCAUGCCGCGUGUAUGAAAAAGGCCUUCGGGUUGUAAAGUACUUUCAGUCGUGAGGAAGGUGUUAAGGUUAAUAACCUUAGCAAUUGACGUUAGCGACAGAAGAAGCACCGGCUAACUCCGUGCCAGCAGCCGCGGUAAUACGGAGGGUGCGAGCGUUAAUCGGAAUUACUGGGCGUAAAGGGCACGCAGGCGGUUAAUUAAGUUGGAUGUGAAAUCCCCGGGCUUAACCUGGGAAUGGCAUUCAAGACUGGUUAGCUAGAGUCUUGUAGAGGGGGUAGAAUUCCAUGUGUAGCGGUGAAAUGCGUAGAGAUGUGGAGGAAUACCGGUGGCGAAGGCGGCCCCUGGACAAAGACUGACGCUCAUGUACGAAAGCGUGGGGAGCAAACAGGGAUUAGAUACC